UCUGUCCAUCUCACCAACUUUAAGUAUGUUUUCAAUGGCAUCGAGAGCAACUUGAAUAAUUUUAUUAUCGGAUCCGUUCAACAUAUCGCAAAGUGGCUUAAUAACGCCUUGUGACACAAGGUAACGAAUUUGGUCAGGCUGACCGAGACCGCCAGAAGUAGCAUUAGAAAUAGCCCAACAGGCUUCUUUUUUUGUUUUGUAGUCGGCAUAUGAGAGUAAAUGGACCAAUGGAGGUAUAAGAUUACUUUCAAUAAUUGCUUGGAUUUGUUGGGUAUUGCCAGCAGUAAUAUUGCUAAUAGUCCAACAAGCUUCCUUACGAAUGUUCUCUUUUUGAUGACUGAGAAGACUAGGGAAUGCAUUGAGAGCACCGCAAUCGAUUAUGAUCUGUGUUUGCGCGUCAGUACCUGUUACUAUAUUCCCCACAGAGCGAAGGGCAGGAGUUUGAAUAUUAACGCUGGGAGAGCUCAAAAGUUCAACAAGCCUGGGCGCACAUCCAACGUCUAAAAUGGCGCCAAUUUUUUCGUUAGGUCCAUCAGAAAGAUAGGAGAUGGCCCAGCACGCGUCAACAAUAAUCUCAACGUCUUCAGAAUAAAGGAGCUUAGCAAGGAUUGGAACGGCUACAGAAAUAGUUGACCAGUUAGGUGGUGGAUUUUUGCCUCUACACAAGUUAGAAAGUGUCCAUGUAGCGUUACGGAGCAUAGAAACAUCAGAAGCGCUACUCUGAAGAAUAUUAAGUAAAGGCUGUAAAACUCCGUUACCGAGUACAUAGUCACGGCAGGCAGAAGAAUCGCCAGCUAUGUUACCGAGGGCCCAUACAACCUGCUCACGGACAUCUUUUUCAGGUGAAGAAAGUAAUUGAAUAAAACGAGGAACAGCGCCGGAAUCAACAACAAUACGGGUUUGAUCUGUGGUACCACUAGCGAUAUUUGUUAAGGCCCAAGCCGCUUCAAAUUGAAGCAAGUGAUGUUCACUUUCUAAAAAUUGUACGAACCGGUCAACAACACCACAAGCAAUUACCUGAUCAAUAGGGGGAUGCGUCUCCUUAGAAAGAUAUUUCCUGAAUUUCGUGACGGCACCUAAUUGUAGCUCAAUGUCGUCUGACAUCACAUCAGCUGUCAAUUUAGGAAAUUCAUCUUUCAUUUGUUGCUCCAUUUGAACCUGAGACUGAUCAGCCUCCUCUUCCAC